rfam:Camelus ferus unplaced genomic scaffold scaffold1095, whole genome shotgun sequence.
GAGGGGGUAGCUCCGUGGUAGAGCGCGUGCUUAGCAUGCACAAGGUCCUGGGUUCCAUCCCCAGUCCCUCCA